CUCUACUUAUCAUGAUCAUAUACAAGCAUCACUUCAGCCCACAGCCUCCCUUCACGCUAGGUAGGGACUCCAAAAUAGGACUAUAUCAGUGUGAAACCAUUAGUCUGCCUUUAUCUAAGAUUACAGGUUAGAAGCAUUUCAUUUUUAUUACAUGAUGACUGGAGCUUUUUUCAACAAUGAUAAUGCUGGAAUUCUAUGAACUGGCAAAAGAGCGAGAGAACAACCAUUCUGAUUUUAGCAUUAAAAAAAAAGUUAGUGCUGUUUUUUUAUUUAAAUGCAAACACCCUGCGAAAUGCCAAAGGUCAGGAGUAGAACCUGAACAGUGUAGGCAUUGCCAAUAUGUUUUAUGAGCACCAUCGCCUCUGACCAAAUAUACACUAAACGGCUGCAUCAUCAUAUUAAUGCUUAACAACAACAACUUUUGGCUCUGAAAUCACUUUCCGGUGGGGUUUUUUUUCCAACAGCAGCAUCAGCUGGAAACCGAAGAUCAGAAAAUGGCUAUUGAUUAAUCUAUUAGAUUAGUUGCAGAGAGAAAUAAAAAAGACGUAAAAUAACAAAGGGAAACUAUAAAUAAAGAAGCCUUUAGCUGCCUUUUUUUUUUGGCAGAGGUGUUAACGACAUAAUCAUUGCCAGCGUUAGCAUAUGAAAAAGUAGGAAAUGAGGGAGUGUGUGAAUGUGAAGACUCUAUUCACCAGAGUGCAAGCUAGGAAGGGUUUCCAAGAGGAACUCCAGCUGAUGAAGCACUGAUGCAAGAAAAGAACAUUGUAUCAAGCAUGUCAGGCAGUAUUUACAGUCUUUAAGUAGACCAUAUUUAGGAUAUCUUGUUAAAAUAUUGCAUGAUGGAGGAUUUCAACAGACAUGUUUAAAUGGAUUCUAAGAAGCUGGACAGAAAGAAAAUAUGCCUGUGGAGCUGUAAAACAUGUAUCUGCCCAGAAGAGAAGAGAAAAAAAAAGCCCUGAAUGAUACAUCGUGUGGGAAGAUAUCUGCCCAAAUGUCUUAAUUGCUUUGUAAACUCAUCUAAAUAAAUAAAAUUUAGAGGGGCUGUCACAGCCAA